rnacentral:lncRNA from 1 species
AAAGUAUGAGAUAAUCAAUCUUAUCUUAUUUAUUACUUGUAUACGUGGAUCAUACCUCUUAAGAAGUAUGUUUUAAUUGGUUGUUAGAUGACUAAUUCUAAUACUAUUGGUAUUAUCCCAGUCAAUUACAAGUUUUAAAUUGAAUCUUAAUUGGUUUAUUUCAUAACUUCCAUUUGUAUUAAUUUGAAAUUCUUUUGCUUGUCUAAAUUUGGAUACAUACACAUAGAUAACCAUAUAGCAAAGUAAGGGGUGUUUGGUUUAGUUGUUGGAUGCAGUUGAUAGUUGAUAGGCAUCCAAAUAGCUAAACCAAAGUGUUUGGUAAAUAUUUUAAAAACCAACUGAUAGCAGAUAGGCAACUGAUACGAGACUUAUCAGCUGCAUUUUGGAUUAUUUCUACAUUUAGAACUGUUUUCCACCAGCCGGUAGCGAUUUUGAUUUUAUUUUUUAUUUAGACUAUACUAUCCUUUUAAAUUUUAUUAGUUAUAACAUUUUAAAUUAAUUUUUUUACAUCAAUAAAUUAUUUAAAAUUACAAGACACAAUAAUAAAUUAAAUACACUAUAAAUAAUAGUUAAGAUAGUUAUACUAUGCAUUAUUAAAUGAUAAAAAAAAUUAUGUACAUGCAUGAAAAAUAAUUAUAUUUUAAAAUUAUGUUUUUAAAUAUUUGUUUGUUGUAUAAUAAAUUAAUAUUUUUAUAUUUGCUUCAUUAAUAUAAUAAAUUGAUAUAUGUCCUUAUUAGUCAUUUUACAUACUAAUAGUAACAGUUAGACAUAAUUUAUCAAACACCUACAAUAUAUUAGUUAGAAUAAGUUAUCAGCUGUAAAUUACAAACUAUCCGCUACUAGCUAUCAGCUAUCAACAACAGGUAAACCAAAUAAGCUCUAAAUAUUCCAUAUUAAUUAUGACUUCGGUCAUAUCAUAUUCACAUUAAUUAAAUUCCUGGUUUGAUCUAGUGGCAAAAGAUAUAUAUUACUCGCUUGGUAGAAUCAAAUUUGAGUCUUCACUCCUCUAUUUCUUUCUGAAAAAAAAAAAAUUUUUUUAAUCAUGCUACUAGUUAGUAGCUUCUUAAUUUUUUUUAAAUACUUUUCAUUUACAUAAAUGCAUUAUUUUUCAUGAUUGGAAAUGAAGGCAUUGGUAUUAUUAUAGUAGAAAUGUUCAAAAUUAUUCUUAAGGAAAUUCAAUAGUAACUCAGCAAGAUACUAUUAGUUCUCNNNNNNNNNNNNNNNNNNUUCAAAUAGGUAUUUCGUUUAAUAAAAGGCUCCUGUUAGUAGGAAGGAAAAAACUUCUGCCUCUUUUCAAUUUGCAUUUUCUUUUUCUUUUCUCUCUUGAUGUACUUGCUUUCUAGACAAUAUCACCUGAUAUGUAUAGUACCAUAUGUAUGCUCUGUGUUAUGAUCCCGAGUCACAGAUUGCGUCACGUGGCGAUUGAUACAGAUAGGGGUGAGCAGUAUUCGGUUCAAACCGAAAAAACCGACCGAACCGAACUAAUUUGAAAAUUUGGUUCGGUUUUUUAUAUAUUUCGGUUCGGUUCGGUUUUUAAUUUCAAAAAUUUUGGUUAUUUUGGUUCGGUUCAGUUUUGAUCAGAAAAAAACCGAAAAAACCGAACCGAACCGAUUAGUAAUAAUAAUAUGUUUUUUCAAUAGAGAAAUUAAAUCAUAUUAAAAUUAAAAUAUUUUAAUUAAAUUUUAAAAUAUUAAAAAUAAAGUGUAAAAAAUAAAAAAAUUAUUAAAAAUCGAAACCGAUUAAACCGAACCGAAUCGAACCGAAUCAGACCGGUUCGGUUCGAUUCGGGUUCUGAUCAAAAUCGGUUUGGUUCGGUUUUUAUAAACUCUAAAAUUUCGGUUUUCAUUUUAUUCGGUUCGGUUCGGUUUUGAACCGAACCGAUCGAAUGCUCACCCCUAGAUACAGAAGUAGCUCUUAAAACUUUAGACUCACUAAUAAGAGAAAGUCUUAAAUAUCAACGUGUUUAUGAUUAAUUUGCUUAUUUUAUUCAUGGUAAAUUGACUUUAUUCAUAGUGAGGACUUAUAGCAAGAGUCCUACUCAAAUACUAAAAAUUGAACAUAUCUACUCCUAUGAUAAGAGAAAAAAAAAAUACUAUGAUAAGAUAAAGAUAAAGAAUGCUAUAGAUGGCAAGAGUUCUUUAAUAUUUGGACUUUAUUGAAUAAUGGAUUUGGUCUUGAGAAAAUAAAGAAAGAGAGGUUUUGCAAAAAAAAAGGGGCUUUUUGCCAAAUUAGGGGUGGGAAAAGAAUUAUUUGUGAAUUUGGGAUUAGAGAAAAAUUAUUUGUUGAUUUGGUGUUGGACUGCCAGGUGGCGAAAAGAUUGUCUGGCGCCUAUUUGACAGGUGCCAGAACUUGGCGCCAUUCUAAAUGGCGCCAGCCAUUAUUUGUUUUUUUUUUUUUUAAGAAUGGCUGGCGCCACUCUAAGUGGCGCCAGGCCAUUAUUUAUUUAUUUUUUAUUUUUUAUUUAUUAAAAUAUUAUAAUUAUAUUAAUUAAUUAAUAUAUGAGUGUAUGAAUAUUUAAAAUUAUAAAAAUUAAAUUUAUUUUUAUUGGACGGUUAUUAUGCAAUCGUACAUAAUCAUAGAAUAAUGUUAAUCUCCUAAUAUUUUGGAGAGUUAUAAAAUAUAUUAUUAUAUGAUUUGAUAACCGCCGAAUUUCUAUCACUCUAGGAGAGGUUAAACUCGAAGAAGUGAAAUAGGUCUAAGGUUUCAGACACCCACUUCAUUUAGCCGGUCCAGCAUCUUCGGUCCUGACCCAGACAGACACGAGGGCAGAUCGGGAUGCCCACGAGUUCGGAUCUAGUACGAGGAAUCCAGCCUGAUUUGAGGAAGGACAGCAGACCCCGUCAAUUCGCAGCCCUGCCCGCAUGCGCGCCAGGGGAAUUAAAUGGAUCCUGACGCUAGAUGUUACUAGCGGACAAAGGAAAAAGAAUAAAGGGGAGGAAGCACCUUCCUCUCCAUCUAAACUUACAUGAC